ensembl:lncRNA
AAAAAAAAAAGAAAAAAAAAAAGAAGAAAAAAAAAGGACAUAUUGUUUUUGUUUGUUCUGGCAGUAUGGCAAAGUUGUUUGGGAGCAGUGGCCGUGCAAACACACAGUAAGGAGCAUGAAUGUAAGGACAGCACCAGACUCCCCUAAGAUGCACGGCCUCCAAAGCAGAGCAUGGACCUCAGUGGCAUGGCAUACUGGCAGAAGCACUCUGCAGGUGGGUGCUGGUCAUGGGCACACUUGUCACCUGCUGGGUUUUCCAUCAAGCCUCCUCCAGCAGGAGUGGGGCGAGGCUGGGGUGGCAAGCAGAAGUCAAGAAGGGUUUUUCCAGGGCAGAAGUCAACAUUUGGGCAUAAAAGGUUUUUUUUGUUGCAGUUGCUGAAAAGAUUGAGACUUGAAAAGGAAAUGAACAAAUAAAAGCACAAAAGGCCUCAAAUCUUCCUCAUACCAUUCUGUUUGUUCAGGGUCCUUUCUCCAGCAGGCUGGCUCAGCUCCUCAUGGCGCUCAGUUUCCUGUACAGCGCAUGGACAUUUCUGCCUCCAGAGCAGCAUCAGCAGUCUUUCCCAGUGGUGGUUUUGAGACACAAAGCAUUGGAAACAAAGAAAAACCUUUCCAAAAGUACUGGGUAGUCCCCUGUCUUAGCUUGCAACAGGUAUUCUCGUUUGUAUACAGUAAAUAGCGUCAAAAAUGGUUUUGGCAGCAUUUCACCAAACUUUGGAAAAUCACUUUAUUCGCUGUAGGAAAAUUCUUAGAGGAAAAUGCUCAGCAUCAGCUUAAGAUGUAUACAUGGAAAGGAACAUUUCCAAAAGGAAUUACCUUCAGAAUCACCUGUAGCUCUAUUUCCAACAUAAGACUCAACUUAAAUUCUCGGGGGCAAAAGCCCUCAGCUCAGCAGAGAUUUCCAGCGACCCAAAGGUUCCUGAUGGGUCUGAAAAUGGUCCGUGGAAGCUUUAGGAGUGCUAUUGACUCCUGCUUUCCAUGGCUACCAUAGCAAGGUUAUUUCAGAGCUGCAGGUUCUGGAAACCCUGCAAUGCCCUCUGCCUGCUGCACAGAGGCUCAGACUUACUCCCACAUCCAAGGCUUUGUUCCCAUGACAGAUGACAGCGUGGAGCUUCAAGCUGGAAGGCAGGCUGCUUCUCAUAGCAGAG